rnacentral:rRNA from 1 species
UACGUAGGGUGCAAGCGUUGUCCGGAAUUAUUGGGCGUAAAGAGCUCGUAGGCGGUUUGUCGCGUCUGCUGUGAAAUCCCAGGGCUUAACCCUGGGCCUGCAGUGGGUACGGGCAAACUAGAGUGCGGUAGGGGAGAUCGGAAUUCCUGGUGUAGCGGUGAAAUGCGCAGAUAUCAGGAGGAACACCGGUGGCGAAGGCGGAUCUCUGGGCCGAUACUGACACUGAGGAGCGAAAGCGUGGGGAGCGAACAGG